GAUGAACGCUGGCGGCAGGCUUAACACAUGCAAGUCGAACGCUCGUAGCAAUACGGGAGUGGCAGACGGGUGAGUAACGCGUGGGAACAUGCCCUUUGGUUCGGAACAACUCCGGGAAACUGGAGCUAAAACCGGAUAAGCCCUACGGGGGAAAGAUUUAUCGCCGAAGGAUUGGCCCGCGUCUGAUUAGCUAGUUGGUGGGGUAAUGGCCCACCAAGGCGACGAUCAGUAGCUGGUCUGAGAGGAUGAUCAGCCACACUGGGACUGAGACACGGCCCAGACUCCUACGGGAGGCAGCAGUGGGGAAUAUUGGACAAUGGGGGCAAGCCUGAUCCAGCCAUGCCGCGUGAGUGAUGAAGGCCUUAGGGUUGUAAAGCUCUUUCGCGCGCGACGAUAAUGACGGUAGCGCGAGAAGAAGCCCCGGCUAACUUCGUGCCAGCCGCCGCCGUAA
rnacentral:rRNA from 1 species